CUUGAAGAUAUUUUGGGUGAGAGAGAGAGAGGGAUGACCAGAGAGUGAGAGAGACGGAAGGGGAGAGGAAAGCGCAGAUCCAAAGGCAGAGAGACAACCCAGAAGCAGAAGCAUAAUGAACAGCACACAAGAAGAAAGUAGUGGCAAGAAACUACCAUGGAUCGAGUGUAUGUGGCCAGUCAUAGAACAUCUCCUAACUUGUAUAAUGAAUAGCAAAGAAGA